CAGUUUCACUUUUAAGAAUAUUAAUGUCCAGAGCUGAUAUCAAUAAAUAAUAAUAAAAAAAAAAGUUUAUUCAUGGUAAAAAAAAACAAAAAAACUUUUAAGUUAAUAGGGACCCGCGUUAUUUCAGAAAAUAUCUUAUUGAUUAAGAGAACAAAAACUUCUACGUUGUGAUCAUUUAAGAGUGGCCUUCUAUUUAUUCAAUGCUAACCAUGUGGGCUUUGGUUUUUUUUUAUAUAUAUAUAUACCAUAAAUCGAUUCGUUCAUUCAGAUAUUUGUCAGUUUGCCUUGGCUCUUCAAGUCCAACACACAACUUCUCACGAAAUUGGUAUUUUUCUUACAAAAAUUACAUCCAUGUGAUGUAUUCUUUUCAUGGAGAAUGAAUGUUGAACCUAAUUUUAUUUGUUAUCGUUUUUUUUUGUGUGUAUCAUUGACGUAUAAGACAACCUGAAUCUUCUUUAUUCAAAUUUAAAACAUACGAGAUGGCAAUUAUGACACAAAAUAACUAAAUUAAAC
rnacentral:lncRNA from 1 species